CUCCAGAUGUUGCUGAACUACAACUCCCAUGAUUCUUUGAAUGAAAGAGAUAACCAAAUAAUCAUGGGAAUUGUAGUUCGGCAACAUCUGGAG